rnacentral:lncRNA from 1 species
AUGAACCUGGGGCUCAUCACCGUGGUGCUGGUGGCUUUUGUCAGCCCCGUGGUGGUGGCCCGCGAGUGCCAGCGGCGAGCCAAGGAGCUGGGCAUGGCUGGCACCCCCCUGGCAGGGCCCCCCAGCACUGAGAUCCACGCCGAGACCCCGCACUGAGCCCCACGCCCAAACACCUUUUUUGUACCUGCCUGGGGGCGCUGUGCCAGUGGGGUGGGGAUAAUAAACAUCGCUGCCCCCUCUGCUCACUGUGCUGCCCCUGGAGCCCCCAGCCCCGUCCCCAGGCCCCUGGUGCACACAGACACGGCUCAGGGCUUCUCUGCUUUACUGGGAAAGGAACUGGGCUGCCUUGGCAGCGCUGGGUGCUCAGUACUGGCAGAUGAAAGGACGCAGCUGGAAGCAGAAGCGGCUUCGCCAGAGCCCAUCUGGGGACAAGGACAGUGUCAGGGCCAUGGCUGGUUCCCAGGGCCCCUCAGUACCCUGCAACCACUUCCAGUGCCCCCUCUACCCCCCCCUUGCCUCCCCCAGUGCCCUGUAACCCCUCCCAGUGCCCUCAGUGCUCCCCUGAGCUCAUCCAGUGCCUUGUGCUCCCCUCCCCAGCACCCCCAAGCCUGGACACGGUGGCUGGGGUGCUGGUGGUGUCCCCAGUAUCCCUGUGCCAUGCGGCCCUGCCUGCUGAUUGCUCUGGCCCUGCUGGGCACAGUUCCCGCCAGCCACUCCGCUCUUGCCAGCCCUGCGGUGGAGGAUGAGGAGGACGUGACAGAGCUGGAGAUGCCCGAGGAGUUCAGCGGGUGCCGGGGGGGCAGUGACAAGCAGACACCCGGUGUCCCCAGCAUGCCAGGCACCGCCACCUGCCGCUACGUCGUCAUCUCCCACUGCCAGAACUUCUGCCAUGCCCAGCGCAUCUGUGCCCAGCGCUUCCGCGGGCGCCUGGCCUCGAUCCACG